GACAGAGGCCUCAAGCGUUAGGCGGAAUCACUGGGCUUAAAGCGUGUGUAGGCGGAUCGUUAAGUGUCUUGUGAAAUCCCACGGCUCACCCGUGGAACGGCUGGGCAUACUGGCGAUCUUGGGCCAACUAGGGGCAACUGGAACAAGCGGUGGAGCGGUGAAAUGCGUAGAUAUCGCUUGGAACGCCAUAGGUGAAAACAGGUUGCUGGGGUUGUGCCGACGCUGAGACACGAAAGCCAGGGGAGCAAACGGG
rnacentral:rRNA from 1 species